rnacentral:rRNA from 1 species
UACGUAGGGUGCAAGCGUUAAUCGGAAUUACUGGGCGUAAAGCGUGCGCAGGCGGUUUUGUAAGUUUGUCGUGAAAUCCCCGGGCUCAACCUGGGAAUGGCGAUGAAGACUGCAAGGCUAGAGUUUGGCAGAGGGGGGUAGAAUUCCACGUGUAGCAGUGAAAUGCGUAGAUAUGUGGAGGAACACCGAUGGCGAAGGGCAGCCCCCCUGGGUCAAAAACUGACGCUCAUGCACGAAAGCGUGGGGAGCAAACAGG